UGAAUACGAGACGCUAAGGCGUUGAAGUAGUGUAUGUCAUACUUCCAAGAAAAGCUUGCACUGUCAUAGAUAAAAAACGCCUGUACCAUAACCGACACAGGUGGGUAGGUAGAGUAUACUAAGGGGCGCGAGAUAACUCUCCCUAAGGAACUCGGCAAAAUAACUCCGUAACUUCGGGAGAAGGAGUGCCUUAUUUAUAAGGCUGCAAUAACAAGAUCCAAGCAACUGUUUAUCAAAAACACAGGUCUCCGCUAAGUCGUAAGACGAUGUAUGGGGGCUGACGCCUGCCCAGUGCCAGAAGGUUAAAGAAGUUGGUUAGCAAUAGCGAAGCUGAUAACUGAAGCCCUGGUGAACGGCGGCCGUAACUAUAACGGUCCUAAGGUAGCGAAAUUCCUUGUCGGGUAAGUUCCGACCCGCACGAAAGGCGUAAUGAUUUGGAUACUGUCUCGGAGAGGGGCUCGGUGAAAUAGACUUGUCUGUGAAGAUGCGGACUACCUGCACCAGGACAGAAAGACCCUAUGAAGCUUUACUGUAACCUGAAAUUGAAAUUGGACUUUAUUCGCGCAGUAUAGGUGGGAGGCGUUGAUUGUAAUCUUGCGGGAUUAUUGGAGCCAUCAGUGAGAUACCACCCUUGUAAUGUUAGAUUUCUAACUUUGAAUCAUUAUCUGGUCAAAGAACAGUUUCAGGCGGGCAGUUUGACUGGGGCGGUCGCCUCCUAAACGGUAACGGAGGCGUACAAAGGUUUCCUCUGAACGGUUAGAAAUCGUAUCUAGAGUGUAAAGGCAUAAGGAAGCUUGACUGUGAGACCUACAAGUCGAGCAGGGACGAAAGUCGGUCUUAGUGAUCUGACGGUACUGAGUGGAAAGGCCGUCACUCAACGGAUAAAAGUUACUCUAAGGAUAACAGGCUGAUCUCCCCCAAGAGUUCACAUCGACGGGGAGGUUUGGCACCUCGAUGUCGGCUCAUCGCAUCCUGGGGCGGUAGUACGUCCCAAGGGUUGGGCCGUUCGCCCAUGAAAGCGGUACGCGAGCUGGGUUCAGAACGUCGUGAGACAGUUCGGUCCAUAUCCGGUGUAGGCGUUAGAAUAUUGAGAGGAGCCUUCUUUAGUACGAGAGGACCGAGAAGGACAUACCUCUGGUGUACCAGUUAUCGUGCCAACGGUAAACGCUGGGUAGCUAUGUAUGGAGUGGAUAACCGCUGAAAGCAUCUAAGUGGGAAGCCCACCUCAAGAUAAGUA
rnacentral:rRNA from 1 species